rnacentral:rRNA from 1 species
CCUACGGGAGGCAGCAGUGGGGAAUAUUGCACAAUGGGGGAAACCCUGAUGCAGCGACGCCGCGUGAGUGAAGAAGUAUCCCGGUACGUAAAGCUCUAUCAGCAGGGAAGAAAAUGACGGUACCUGACUAAGAAGCCCCGGCUAAAUACGUGCCAGCAGCCGCGGUAAUACGGGGGGGGCAAGCGUUAUCCGGAUUUACUGGGUGUAAAGGGAGCGUAGACGGCAGGACAAGUCUGGAGUGAAAUCCCGGGGCUUAACCCCGGAACAGCUUUGGAAACUGGGCGGCUGGAGUGGAGGAGGGGUAAGCGGAAUGCCUAGUGUAGCGGUGAAAUGCGUAGAUAUUAGGAGGAACGCCGGUGGCGAAGGCGGCUUACUGGACUGUAACUGACGUUGAGGCUCGAAAGCGUGGGGAGCAAACAGGAUUAGAUACCCUUGUAGUC